CGCGUAGGCGGCUUGCCAAGUCAGUGGUGAAAUCCCGCAGCUUAACUGCGGAAGUGCCUUUGAUACUGGCGAGCUCGAGGGAGGUAGGGGUAUGUGGAACUUCUGGUGGAGCGGUGAAAUGCGUUGAUAUCAGAAGGAACGCCGGUGGCGAAAGCGACGUACUGGACCUCUUCUAACGCUGAGGCGCGAAAGGCUAGGGGAAGGCAAACG
rnacentral:rRNA from 1 species